rnacentral:rRNA from 1 species
UACGGGGGGGGCAAGCGUUGUUCGGAAUUACUGGGCGUAAAGGGCUCGUAGGCGGCCAACUAAGUCCGACGUGAAAUCCCCAGGCUUAACCUGGGAACUGCGCCGGAUACUGGAUGGCUUGAAUUCGGGAGAGGGAUGCAGAAUUCCAGGUGUAGCGGUGAAAUGCGUAGAUAUCUGGAGGAAUACCGGUGGCGAAGGCGGCAUCCUGGACCGACAUUGACGCUGAUGAGCGAAAGCUAGGGGAGCAAACGGG